rnacentral:lncRNA from 1 species
AAUAAAUAUCCACUCAUUGUCUUAACAUUUUUGAUCUUGGCAUUUGUUUUAUCCAGUAAAUAUUUUCAUAGUACUUUAAUUUCAGUUUAUCUGUUUGAAAAAUUAUGCAAAAACAGCCUCUGUUUUCAGGAACAACAGAGAUGUUUAUAGCAUUUAAGUCAAAAGCAGAGCUUGUAAAUUAAUUCAGAUUUUCUGAGCAAAGACAUUAGUUUUUGUGUAACAUAAGGACUUGGACUUGUUUACACAAAAUAAUCCCAAGAAUAAUAGUUUCCCAUGCUCAACAGGGGUCUUAAAAAUCAAUAUUUUUCUUUAGUUGAUGAU